rnacentral:lncRNA from 1 species
GAAACCGGAGUAACUGGAAUUCGGGUCAAGCUUUUCCCUGAUGGGGAGAAAUCACUUAAGAAGCCAGUGGUUGUAAACCCCUCACCGAGUCGAUGUAGUGGUUAAUGUAAUGGACACCAUCUUGCUCCACCCAGUCCCUUCUGGAAGGCCAAAUACUCGAUUCUCUGCUCAGGAAUCACCACCUGCCAUGGGCAGUUGCCCUCAGUGGCAGGACACUGCCAUGCACAAGGCAGCCCAGGCCAGUGACUGUCUGUGAUGGGAUCGAAAGGCCCGCUCCCCGUGUUUCAACUGGAACUCUAGCCCCCCUCUCCCAGGAUCACCUGAGCACUCAGUAGGACCUACACUGUGGGUCGCCUUCUCCAUCUGCUUAGUUCUGCCUUCUUCACCUCCUUCUACUGCAUCUGCUGAGAGCACAUCCUGAAAACCCUUUUGUACAGAAUUCUCGGGUUGCAGAACCUAUUCCAGAGAUCCAGUGUAAGACACGGUGUGCCGUGUAAGAAAGUGGAGGGGAAGCAAAGACAGGAACAAUGGAGGGUUCUUUCAAGAAGUCAAGAAACAUGGUGGUAGCUGGAAGAAGCAGGUUCCACGAACCAGAAACACCUGCUUGAGUCUUGGAGGCAAGAAAAGCAGCAGAAGCCACAUUACUGCUACUCCGGCAUCGGUGGGCAUACGUCCCGGCAUCAGCAGGGAUCCUACCCGGGCCUCUGGGCAUUUUCCUAUCUCACCUUGCACAGAGUGGUCCCGCCCGGGGGGUUUCACAGCAUCCUCAGCAUCACCUGGGGACUUGCAGCAAUGCCAGUUCUUAGACCACUCUCCAGUCUUACGCAUUCAGAAGCUGCAGAGGAGAAAAGGUGCUGACGCUUUGACUGGGAUCUCAAGGAAUGAAACCCUAAUUGACUGACCCGAGUGGAACCAGUAAAGAAGAGCUAUCCCGGCUGAUGUGGGCAGACUUCAUCCAAACAGCUGGAAGGCCUUAAGAACAAAAACAGGUCUCACAGAAGGAAAAGAAAUUCUACCUCAAGACUGCAGCAUCAGUUCCUGUCCAAGCCUGCACCUGCCAGCCCCCAUGGUCCUAGAAGUCAAUUCCUUGGAAGGGACAGGAAGUGACUGUAGAAUUGAGUAAGAGGGAGAGGCUAGAAGAAUCUUGACUUACUCAACAGAAAAAGCCCAGAUUGCUCUGAAAAGAUGGUCGGUUAGAAACACAGACACAGAAG